rnacentral:rRNA from 1 species
GGUUGACCUCGGAUCAGGUAAGGAUACCCGCUGA